rnacentral:rRNA from 1 species
UAACAGGAUUCCCCUAGUAACUGCGAGUGAAGCGGGAAGAGCUCAAAUUUAAAAUCUGGCGGCCUUCUGGACGUCCGAGUUGUAGUCUGGAGAAGUGUUAUCCGCGUCGGACCGUGUACAAGUCUCCUGGAACGGAGCGUCGUAGAGGGUGAGAAUCCCGUCCAUGACACGGACGCCCGAUGCUAUGUGAGGCACUCUCAAAGAGUCGAGUUGUUUGGGAAUGCAGCUCAAAAUGGGUGGUAAAUUCCAUCUAAAGCUAAAUAUUGGCGAGAGACCGAUAGCGAACAAGUACCGUGAGGGAAAGAUGAAAAGCACUUUGGAAAGAGAGUUAAACAGUACGUGAAAUUGUUGAAAGGGAAACGCUUGAAGUCAGUCGCGUCCCGCGGAACUCAGCCUGGUUUCGACCUGGUGUACUUUCCAUGUGGACGGGUCAACAUCAAUUUCGGCCGGUGGACAAGGGCGAGGGGAAUGUAGCGUUGCUUCGGCGACGUGUUAUAGCCCCUCGUCGUAUACACUGGUUGGGAUUGAGGACCGCAGCACGCCCUUGUGGCCGGGGGUUCGCCCCACGUAACGUGCUUAGGAUGUUGGCAUAAUGGCUUUAAGCGACCCGUCUUGAAACACGGACCAAGGAGUCUAACAUGCUUGCGAGUGUUCGGGUGGAAAACCCUUGCGCGUAAUGAAAGUGAAAGUUGGGAACCUCCGCGAGGGGGUGCACCGACGCCCGGCCCUGAGGUUCUCUGACGGUGCCGCGGUAGAGCACGUAUGUUGGGACCCGAAAGAUGGUGAACUAUGCCUGAAUAGGGCGAAGCCAGAGGAAACUCUGGUGGAGGCUCGUAGCGAUUCUGACGUGCAAAUCGAUCGUCAAAUUUGGG